rnacentral:lncRNA from 1 species
AGGCCUGCUGGGCUCCCGACGCUCGCGGGAGCAGCGGGAAACCAGGUUCCGGGAGUGGGGCGAGGACGCCCCUGCCAAGCCCCUUUUACGUCCCGGCGGUCGCGAGGAGGUCCCCCGGGCGCGAAGAAGACGCCAGCCCACCCCAGCCGCCGGGGAGAUCGCCCAGGCCGCGCUCAGCCCCGCCCCUGGCUCUGCCCCCGCCGCGGAGCGGAACCCUCCAAGUCGCGGCCUGAGGAGGAAGGAAAAGGGGGCGGCCCGGGAGAGCCGCUGCGAAAUCAGCAACGGGCGGGAACCAGGUUGCCUCCCUGAGUCCCUUCUCUCCCCGGCCGGCUGCCAACCACAGCCAAGGCCAGAGAAACAGGCCCUUCUGCCGCGGCCACCUGGGCGCCUUGGACCCGCCCUCCGGACUCGCCCCCGCCCCUGCCGCGGAGUGGAACGUUUGGAACCCUGAGGGGCACAGGUAAGGGGGCGGCCCCGCCCCGCGCCCUGGAACGACCUCACGGCCCCGCCCACAUCCCCGCCCCUGGCCCCACCUCCGCCGCAGAGCGGAACCCUCAGAGUCGCGGCCUCGGGGGGGACGAAAAAGGAGGCGGCCCGUGGGAGUCUAGGGGAACCCGGCUUCGGGCGGCGGACGAGUUGGCUUUCCUGCGUGGUAGUGUGGAGCCCCCCGAGACGGGUGCCAGUCCCACUCGAGGCCGGAGAAAGAGGGCCGCCUACCGCGGCCGCCUGGGCACCCCUCUGAGGGCCAAGAUUGUAGUCCCACCUCUGGCCCCGUCUCCGCCGCCUAGCGGAACUGGAGUAGCGGGACCCAGCCCGGAAGAAAAAGGGGGAAGGCCCGGAGAGGUGCCCCAGCGACACCUCUGGCGCCUGUGACCCCGCCCCUAGCCACUUGGGCGCCGCUUCCUCGGGCAGGUUCGCAGUUCAUCUCCCACGGGUCUACAGCUUGAAACUUGGCAUUCAUUAUAAUGUUUCGUGGCUGCUGAUAACCUACAGUUCACAAUCUUCGGCCUGGUAUUCAUUGUCCACCAAAAUCUGGCCCACAUAGGAAUUUACUGGACAGCUAGACUAAUGCAAUCAAUUUCCGCAAGCUCUUUUCCAGUCUCCAUGCAUUUACUCUAUGCUUGACCCCUUCGGCCCUUCUUCCUCCUCCUUGACUAACUGAAGCCUAUCUUUCCCUUAACGGCCAGCUCAGCUCCUCUAUUAGCCUUCCCCAUUUUCUGAAUUUCUGUAGCCAUUGGUUUAGUAAGAGCUUAGGACUUAGAGUCAGUUCAUUUUGAGUUCAAAUGUCAGUUCUGUCAUUUACAAGUCGUAUGACCUUUGGCAUCCCGUUUUACAUGUUUGAACUUAAGUGUUCUCAUCUGUAAAAUGGAGAUAAUCAUAGCACCUACCUCACAGGAUGACUUAAGAUCAAGAGGAUGAAUAUAAAGCAUUUAGCACAAGCCUGGCUAGUAGAAAAAUACUUAAUAAAUCAUAGCUAAUUUCGUUGUCACUUGGCCACAAUGUAUUGCCUCCUGUUGUUAUUUAUGUUUUCAUGUGUGGAUGAGGCAUAUUUUCCUAAUUGGAAUGUACGUUAUUCAUUGAAACAGUCUUUUGGUAUCUCCUACUAUGCCUGGUACAGUGUUGAGCAUAUAGUUGGAGCUCAAUUAAUGUUGCUCGCAUGAGUAAAUGAAAUCAGUCCUGCUUAGCUGCGUUCCCUUAUGUUUGGUCCUUAACCAAGUUUAUAUUAGAUAUUCCAGAACAUAAAUCUAUGGCUUUACUCUGUCACUCAACUAAAGCACCAAACCCCACAUCAGCUCACAUAUUACUUCAUAUAAUACUUUGUUUUCUUAAUAUUGGCUUUUGAAUUAUGCAGUGAUCCAUGUGAUGUGCCUCCAUGAAGAAUUUGCUGUGGUCUAGGGGUGAAUAAAACUAGACAUUGUUAUCACCACUAAAUGUUUUGGAAUCUGAAUAUGUACUCUUGCUAGAAUUUUCAUGUAUUCAUCUCCAUCUAAAAGCUGGGAUCAUUGCUUCUUUUCAUUGUGGCUUUUGUUUCCAUUGGGUCCUUCCUUAGGAGUUGAUUUUGCAGCCAUAUGGGAAAUAACUGAUGAUCUUUGCUCCUUAUCUGGCAUUUCCACCUAGUAUAGAAACAUUUUCAGUUUCCUGACUUCAUUCUUCGCUAAUUCUGCUGUGCACAUUUGCACCCCUUUUGGUGUAUAGGCAAUCUACAUUCUUCGGCUUUGGUCUAUGCGAUUGCAUAGCAAUAUAUAAGCUAUGUUCUUCAAUAAGCUCAAAAUUCUGGGAUAAAACCAAGAAGGAAGGCUACUCCGUUUUAGCUUUUAAAUUUUUAAAGCAAAUUUUAGUGAUUCAUUUUGGACCAGAAAGCUGUACUAUAUAAUAAAUCAGUCUCACAUUUUAGUAUCCUCAUAUCCCUGAGGUGCAAAACCUCCAUAUCUUGGUCCCCAUAUCCAUGAAGCCAUUCUCUGGUUAUCACCAAUAGAAACUUGUCUCCAAGUCAUUUCUCAAAUAUUUGUCAAGAAUCAGAUAUAGUAUAAUGAUAGGGAAUGUUAUUGUUUCUGAAGCUGAUUCAUGAUCUCCAUAAAAAUGAAGACCCAGAACUGGACCCUGGGGUAGCACCAUGUAUGAUUUUUCUGACCCCAGCCAGAGGAUCUGCCAUCAUCCUGCCACAGAGACUUCAGCCCAGGUAGUUUCCAGAGAGCCCCAUGUUAACAUCCAAGGUGGAAACCAAUAAAUGUUUCUCUUGUAGGGUUCAGGUCUUUGGCUCUAAAGAAAAUCACUCCAUCUUUGACCCAGAAGGUCAAUUCUGAAUGAAUUUGCUGAAAAUGACCAAUUCACCAAAUUUAGUUAUUUCUAUGAUAAUUUAGUUGACUGGAAAUCAUUUUUUCGUUACAUUUUAAAGAAUGUUGAAUUUGUCUCUGCUCCAGCUUCCUGUAGCUCGUUUGAGGCUAAGAGAUAAAGAGAGGAAACACCAGGGAACAUAAGAUUUCUUCACAGUGAGGAAUAUAUUUAUUAAAUAUAUUUAAAAGAAUAUAUUCUAAAAGAACAUAUAUUCCAUUUUUGCCUGCUCUGACUUCUUGAUGCUGUACCUGGAGACUAACAUGAAAAGAAAGCAGUAUAUACUGGCCAGGCGCAGUGGCUCACACCUGUAAUCCCAGCACUUUGGAAGGCUGAGGCUGGUGGAUCACUUGAGGUCAGGAGUUCAAGACCAGCCUGGCCAAUAUGGUGAAACCCUAUCUCUACAAAAAAUACAAAAAUUAGCUGGGCAUGGUGGCAGGUGCCUGUAAUCUCAGCUACUCGAGAGGCUGAGGCAGGAGAAUUGCUUGAACCCAGGAAGUGGAGAGUGCAGUGAGCCAAGAUUGCACCAUUGCACUCCAGCCUGGGUGAUAGAGCGAGACUCUGUCUCAAAAAAAAAAAAAAAAAAAGAAAAAAAAAGUAUACACUGAUAAGAAUUCUUCAAAUUGAAGAUUAUGUUCUUAUGUCUACCCAGUCUUUCCUUUUUCCUUUCCUUCGGACUCCAACUAGAACAGCAAGGAGCAGAGACAAAGACAAACUAGUCCUUAAAAUGCUGUUAUGGAGACAAAAUGACACCAAACAAGUCCACUCUGUGAAUUGGUUAUGCUGUAAAUUAAUCUUUGUCUAAAUGGCCUUUGACAAACCGACUGACUCCUAGCUGACCUCCUUAGACAUACCCAGUAUCCCAAGUGAAGCUGUUUCAUCGUUUUUUGUUUGUUUGUUUUAAAGACAGGAGGUCUUUCUGUGUUGCCCAGGAUGGACUCCAAUUUCCUGGCUCAAGCGAUCCUCCUGCCUCCGCCUCCCAAGUAGCUGGGACUACAGAGUCUCAGAACAUGGGAUCAAUCUUAGACCCAAAGGAGGAUGCUUCUCAGAAACACUCUCUGUCCUGCCGUACGUCUGUCUAAACUCCUCUAGCAAUUCCGAUGUGAAAAGAAGAUGGAUGGAGAAGCACUGAUUCAGCCAUGGCUGACAUGUCGGAGUUGGAAUGGACAGUGCCCGGACCUCACAGUCUCAGAGAACUGGAGAAGAGUAAAGCUGAAGAGGGCAUCAUCUGGUUACAAAUGACAAGUCCAGGGCUCCAGAACUCAGGCCAUGUAGAGAGGCCACAUGGGAACUGAGGUUCCUAGUCCUCAGCUUCCACUGAGCUCCCAGCCAACAGCCAGCAAUAACUUGCCAGAUGUGUGCACAGGCCAUCCUGGAAGCAGAGGAUCCAGCCCUCAGCCAAGAUGCCCCAGUUGAUUCCAUGUGAACUAGGAAUGAGCCCUCCUGCUGAGCUCUGCCCAAAUUACAGAUCUGUGAGCAAACUAAAUGACAGUUGUAUUAAGCUACACAGAAAUAGAUAACUGGAAUACCACCCAUGUCUUUCUUUCCAAACUUAGUUAACUGAGUCUGAGCUAAAGAGAAUUCACACUGUAUAUCUUAUAUUGAAUACCCACUAUAUCUGGGGCAUGAUUGCUAAUAAUCCUCACAAUAGCCCUACAAUAGGAAACGAUCAUCCUCAUUUCACAGAUGGAGAGUUUAAUGGUAAGCCUGAACUCAGACUCAGACUUGUUUGACUUGAGAGCCCAUACCUCUUUCACUAAGCCAUACCAUCUCCAUUCACUCUAUGCUGUCUGGCCACCUGAGAGGCUGUCUGUAAGUCUAUCUCCUUAUUAACCCAUCAUUCCUGCUACUUCCAUGAUAAUCGGCAAGGCUGAAUGAUAGCUCUCAGUUCUAUGGGGUCUUUCCAGGAGAAGGGCCAAAGAGGAGUGGUUGAUCACAAAGUCAUCGGCACAAAAAGAUGGUGGCCAAGCUACAGUCCUGCAUGGCACAUGAGCCAGAUGAUCAAGUAAUGAAAGCUAUGCUAAGAAAUGUGGGCUUUAUCUUGUGGAGAAGGAGAUGCAGUAGAGGCUUUUUAAGGUACAUUUCAGAACAAUUAUUAUUUUUAUAUUUAUUAUAUAUUAUUUAUAUAUAUAAAACCACAAAUUAUAUGCUACAUAUAUACAUAUGUUUUUAUGUCUAUAUAUAAACACAUAUAUACGUUUAUAUAUAUAUACAUAUGUAUAUACAACACAUAAAAUUUACCAUCUUAACCUUUUUUUUUUCCAAGAUGGAGUCUCAUUCUGUUGCCCUGGCUGGAGUGCAGUGACACGAUCUCGGCUCACUGCAACCUACACCUCCCAGGUUCAAACAAUUCUCAUGCCUCAGCCUCCCUAGUAGCUGGGAUUACAGGCGCCCACCACCAUGCUCAGCUCAGCUAAUUUUUGUAUUUUUAGUAGAGACAGGGUUUCACCAUAUUGGCCAGGCUAGUUUCGAACUCCUGACCUCAGGUGAUCCGCUUGCCUCGGCCUCCCAAAGUGCUGGGAUUACAGGCAUGAGCCACUGCACCCGGCCUCAUCUUAACCAUUUUUAAGUGUACAGUUUGGUUGCAUUAAGUAUGUCCACAUGUUUAUGCAACCAUCACCACCUUCUCUUUUUAGAACUUCUGCAUCUUCCCAAACCAAAACCCCAUACCUAUUAAACAAUAACUCCCCAUUCUCCCUUCCCCCUUGCCCCUGUUCCUGACACAGAACAAUAUUUUUUGUAUAACUAUGAAAUAAAUGAAGGAAAUCUGAAGUGGGAAGGCCAGAGAGUAAGCUACAGGGGUACAUUGGGCAAGACACGAUGAGGACUUGAACCCAUGCUUGGGAAGCUGGCAUGAAAAGAGAGGUUCAACAGAUCCUACUAAGGUAAAAGUGAGAGGAUUUUGCGGGGCGGAGGGGGGGUCACUGGGAUGUGGGAGUGAGGAAGAAACAGGAAUCGGCCUGCCAGCAGUUAAUCUAUCGAACUCCCAUAGUCCACGUGACCCUGUCCUGCACCCCUAAAGAAGGCAGUGUGGCAGGUAGGUUAAGAGCCUAGACUCCAAAGACCAGGACGGCCUAGGUCCAAAUCCUGGCUCUGCCAUUUGCUAACUAUGUAACUUUGACCACUUACUUAACCCAUCUGCACUUCAGUUUCCCAGGUGAAAAACAGGCACGAAGAUAAGUGUAACAGGACAUACUUCAUAGGUACUACUGUUAAAGUAUUGAGAAGAAUACACAGUAAAUACUGCUCAAGUCAGUAGUUAAUACAAUGACUGUAUUAGUCCGUUUUCACGCUCUGAUAAAGACAUACCCAAGACUGGGUAAUUUAUAAAGGAAAGAGGUUUAAUUUACUCACAUUUCCACAUGGCUGGGGAGGCCUCACAAUCAUGGUGGAAGAGGAAGGAAGAGCAAAGGGAUGUCUUAUAUGGCAGCGGGCAAAAGAGAGAGCCAAGUGAAAGGGGGAAAUCUCUUAUAAAAACAUCAGAUCUCAUGAAACUUAUUUGCUACCACAAGAACAGUAUGGGGGAAACCGCUCCCGUUAUUCAAUUAUCUCCCACCGGGUCCCUCCUACAACAUGUAAGAAUUAUGGGAGCUGCAAUUCAAGAUGAGAUUUGGGUGGGAAUACAGCCAAACCAUAUCAAGGAUGCGCUCUCUAUUCUUCACUUUCCCAGUGACUUAUCUAAAAAUGAUUUCUCCCUUCUACGUGCAAGACUUCCACUCCAGUUUCUUUUCUCCUUAUAUUAUUUGCUUCCAGUUUCUAAAAUAUCCUUGGGAUCACUUUGAGAACAUGGGAGGAGAGAAGCAGAGGGCUUCAGGAAAUCUGAUGACCAUAACUUACGUUUUAUAAGUUCUUGUACAAAGUCAAGAACAGGUGAAAUUUCCAGGAAGAAUGUAGAAGACACAGUUAAUCAUGAUGUUAUUGGGUUGCCCUUAAGUGGGAUGCAUGGUCUCCCUAGGGGUCACAGGCUGGCUUCUAAAAAGUAACUAAUUUUUUUCUGAUUACAAUCAUAAUGUGGGUUUAUGUGGGAAGAAUUCUAAGCCACAGAAAAAUAUAAGGAAAAACUUGAAAAGUACUCCUAAUCUUACCACUCAAAGAUAACGUUAGCUGGCUGCAAGGAUCUUCAGAAUUCUCUAGGCCAGUUGCAGAACUGAAACAACAAAACAGAGCCUUGGGAGAUGUUAGCUUCAUGUUUUAUUUAGAAGUAUUAGCAGAUAGAAAAUUGAGCUCAUUAGCAUGCUAGCAUGUGUGGUGGCUCCAUAAUGCAUCAUCUUCGUUAGACCAACUACAUUUCCCAAAAUUCCCUUUCUUGCAUGUUUCUAAUUAACGUGGGACAGAAGAGAGUUUCCUGUGGGAGAUCUGGGCAGAUGUGGGCAGCAGCCAUGUUGUAGCUCACAUAGGUUGGCAAUGAUCAGUUGCCUCAUCUUAUUAGGACCAGGGAGGUGCGGGGCCUGUAACUGCUCCACCUUCUCCUGGGUUUUCCUUUUCAGCUUCUUCGGCUCCUUGGCCAUGUGUGUACUUUAUGAUGAAGCGCCCAGCUUCUGCAGGAUAUCCAUACUGCCAAGGUCAAAAGCAACAAUAAGCGACGUGGGGCUCAGUCUGUUCUCGUGGGCUACAAUGCAUGCUUCUGGUUUCCAGGUUGUUCUUGCUCUCCCUUAUUUUACAUUUAUCCUUCCUUCCCAACUGCCUGUCCGAUAGAUGUCGAGUCCCAACAUCAGAUGUGAAGAUGAGAGCUUUAUAGAGACUGCUUAACCAGCUCCCACAGUUGUAUUAGGACAAAUCCCUGUAGCAAAUCCCUUUGUGUGUGUGUGUGUGUGUGUGUGUGUGUGUAUGUGUGUGUGUGUGCGCGCGCACGCGCGUGCACGCACCUUAGUGGUUCUCCUGUGAUUGAAUCCUGACUUACACAGUUUGAGAUAGAAACCUUCUGAAGCAAUUAGAUUAAAUGGUCUAUAACUGUGCUGUCCAACAUGGUAGCCAUUAGCUACAUGUGGCUAUUUAAAUUUAAAUUAAUUAAAGUUAAACAUAAUUAGAAUUUAGUACCCCAGUCAAGUUUCAAGUGCUCAAUACUGUGGUCACAUGUGGCUGGUGGCCACUGUUUUGGGCAGCACAGAUAUAGAGCACUUCCGUUAUUGCAAAAAAAUGUUCUAUGAGCACUGGUCUAUAGUGAUAAUUACUAGUAUUUACUGAGUUCUCACCAUGUGUCAGAUGCAGAUUCCAAGUUUGCUCUGGAGAGCACGAUGCGGCAGGCAAACGGGGAAAGAGAGAGAGUGAUGGGAAUCAGGUGGGAGAUUUUUUUUUUUUUUUUUGAGAUGGAGUCUCUCUCACUCUGUCACCCAGGCUGGAGUGCAGUGGCACAAUAUCGGAUCACUGCAACCUCCGCCUCCCAGGUUCAAGUGAUUCUCCUGCCUCAGUCUCCCAAGUAGCCAGGAUUACAGACUUGUACCACCACGCCUGGCUAAGUUUUGUAUUUUUAGUAGAGACAGGGUUUCACCAUGUUGGCCAGGCUGGUCUCGAACCCCUGACCUCAGGUGAUCCACCCUCCUUGACCUUCCAAAGUGCUGAGAUUACAGGUGUGAGCCAUUGCACCUGGCCAGGUGGGAGAUUUUUAAUGACCAGGCCUGGAGGUGGCACACAUCACUUAUACCCACAUCCAUUGGCCAGCACUCAGUUACACGGCCACUUCUAACUACAAGGGAGGUUGGGAAAUGUAGCCUAGCUGUGUGCUGAGGAAGAAAAAGUAAAAGCUUUGGUGCCAGCCAGUCUCUGCCACAUCAGAUUUAAUUUGAGCGCUGUGAAGUAAUUAAUGCCCAUUAAACUAAGGGUGGGACAAGAUUAAUGCUAAAAUCACUCUCCCCAGCCACCAUUUUCUCUCUUGUUCUUUGUCAUGAUAUUGACAAGGUCAAAAGUCAGGCAGUCAGCAUGAACCCGAGGAGGAGAAGUCCUUGCCACUUUGAGGCUGAAUAUGAACAGCCCCUUCUUUAUGACUCACCCUAUCAGCUUUGCUCCUAGCGAAUGUUCAUAUCGUGGUUCUCCGGGACCCUUGAAAGUGGGACUCCUAUGUGAGGAACUAGUUCUAUAAACAACUACAUGCUAGUAAAAAACCAUUAAGAGGGUUGGAAUUAGGCAUAGUCCUGCUGCAUAGAAAUCCUACUUAGUUGGAAAAAUUGUAUUUUUAAGUUGCCUCUGUUUUGAAGCCACGUUAACCCUUAACCUUCAGAAAAUCCUUAGCCAGCCUUUAUACAUUGGUAGCUCCUGUUCUAAUAAUGUCUUCUCCUCCUAUUUUCUUUGGCUUGUCAUGAGCUUUGAAAGUUUGAUCUGAGAUCCCUCACUUUUAAUAAUCUGUAACUCUGAUUUGGUAAUCUCCUACAUAUGAAUAAAAUGUCUGUGUUCAUUUAUUUCUAAUGAAUAAAUGAACAUGCCUGCUGAGCCAAGCCUUAAAUGUGAUUAAGGAGACUGACUUGGGUUCAGAUCCUGGCUCUGCCUUGAGUAAGUUUCUAACAUUCCUCUGCUUGUAUUUCCUUAUCUGUAAAAUGGGAGUGAUUUCUUUGAAUGAAAUUAUAUUACAUUUAUCAAGCAUUUUAUCACAGUUUCAACAAUAAGGUGUAAUUAUUAUUAAUUCAGACUAUAUGAUUCUGUGCCCUUGGAUAAAGUUUACCAUUAUAUAAUAAACUACUUUUCUCACUUAAUGCAAACAAUGUGGUAUCAGUAAUUUGUAGAGGGCAUUUUAAAAAAUCAUGAAGAUGGUUUCUUCCAGGAUUUACAUGCAUGAGAUUUCCAUUCUGACUAUAAAACAUUCUUAUUUAUUCACUAACACUAGGUUAGUGAGAAUGUCUGUUAGAACACUGUGCUCAUCUAAUUCAAGUUUCCAUAGUUUAGGAUCAUCAUAGGAAGGCACCUCCUACAAAGAUCAUGGGGUUCCAUCCCUUCGUAUUACACAUCAGGAAACUGAAGUUCAUAGAAAUCCACUUCAGAGGUAAAGGAGACUUGAAGAUGACCUAGUGCAAUACUGUACGUUUUGCAAAGGUAGUCAUUUAGACGGUACUUUCAUCAUUUCAAAAAUCGCUUAUUUAUCCACAAUAGGCUGCACACACAAAAAUUAGAGUGUGAGGCUGAGGCUGGGUGCGAUGACUCACGCCUGUAAUCCCAGUGCUUUGGGAGGCCGAGGCAGGUGCCCAGGAGUUUGAGCCCAGGGGUUUGAGACCAGCCUGGGCAACAUGAAGAGACUUCAUCGCUACUAAACAUGUUAAAAUUAGCUGGGAGUGGUGGUGCAUGCCUAUAGUCCAAGCUACUUGGGAGGCUGAGGUGGGAGGUGCGCUUGAGCCCAGGUGUUAGAGACUGCAGUGAGCUAUGAUUGCACCAUUGCAUUCCAGCCUGGUGACAGAGCAAGACCCUGUCUCUAAAAAAUAAAAAUAAAAUAAAAAUAGAGUAUAAUGUUUGUACCGUUUGGGAUUAUAUCAAUACUGGUUUUCUACUGCUGAUCACAAACACUGGAUACUGUCAUAUAUGUUUUUACUCAACACCAAAAAUGAGAACAAUCUUACUUAAAUAAAUUGUGCAAAAGCAUCUUUUAGGGCUUGGAGUUCACUGGAAGAAAAGAAUUACAAAAUAGGUCAUGGGUGGGGAAAAUACCAGAUACCAAAAUAGUCCAACCCCUUCAGUCCACAAGUGAGGAAACACAAGCUCAGAAAUGUGAAGUCAUUUGCCAAAGUUUAUUCUUUUAAUCCCAUUUUUGAAGGCCUACUGUGUGCCAGGCACGGGGGUUAUAGCAGGGAAUAAAACAAAGUCCCUGGCCUCAAAGAGAGUUUACAUUCUAGUCAUAUUAUGCAACUCACUUCAAAGUUUUAAAACUCUACUUUGAAAACAUCCUGUAACUGAAAACUUCUCACUAAUUCAAACCCAUCUCCUUCUGCUUGUGUACACCAAAACCCAGAAUUGGUUAGACUUCACUGUGAAUCCCAAUCUGUGUAAUAUCAAAUCAUAUUUCAAGUUAGGAGCAAGGCAAAAAUGUCUACAUAAUUGAAAGACAACAGAGCUAUGUGUUCAAUUCCUGUUCAUUCAAUUAAUCAGAUAAUUAUAAGCAAUUCUAAUUUACACACUAAAGCAAAAUUACUGCCAUUUUAUAUCUUUGUUUAUCUCUUCUUCAAAUUAAAAAACUCUAUGCUGUACUAAAUACUAUAGCAACAUUAGAGUAACUUUUACUUUAUGCUCUGUUCACUUCUAAAAGAAAAGUAACAAAAGGGUAUAGGUCACACUGGACACGGAUGUUAAAGACUAACACACAUCACAUCACAAACAUCAUUGCAAAAGUAUCUCUAACUUACCUUGAUGUUUUUUACAGCCCUGUGAUCUUGUAAAUGUGAGGCCUCUUGGCAAGAUCAAUGUGUUUCUUGUUAUUUCUUGAACUAAGGAAUGCUAUUAAGGUGCAUUUCAACAGCGUGUUCUCUUGGAAUAUCAACUUAAACCCUAAUAGGUUAAAUCAGCAGAACUGUUGCUUUUAUGCCUUAGAUCACUCUUUAUCUUUAUACAGUGCUUUGGGGAUAUAAAUUCAUCCCAGGAUGAACAAAUCAUGCAAAGUUGUGUAAAAACCAUUUUCAAGCCAGGCACGGUGGCAUGCACCUGUAAUCCCAGCUACUCGGGAGGUCGAGAUGGGAGGAUGGCUUGAGCCCAGGAGUUCGAGGCUGCAGUGAGCCAUGAUUGUUGCGCCUGUGAAUAGGCACCGCAUUCCAGCCUGGGCAACACAGUGAGACCCAGGCUCUAAAACAACAACAGCAACAACAAGAAAACCAUUUUUAAUGCUUCAGGACUAAAUAUUGGGGAAGUGGUUAAGAACACGAGUUCUAGAAUCUCACCACCUCCACUUUCCAGCUGUGUGAAUUUGGAAAUUACCCAAACUGUCCAAGCCAAAAAUAAGCACUUUCUGGAUCUUGGUACUGUUUCUUUCUGGGUAACCUAGAAAGUCACUCCAUUGCUUUGAGCUUCAGUUUUCUCUUCAGCAAAGUGAGGAUAACACAAACUUUUCUACUAACCUCAAGGGGACACCGUGAGAUGAUGUAUGCGAAGGUGCUUCGUCAACCGCAAAGACCUACAGGAGUGUCCAGUUGUGUUGCUGCUGCUGUUGUUAAUCUUUAGUACCAGUACUAUGUAUGAAGUAGUACUAAAGAAUCUGUCUUUAGUACCAGUACUAUGUAGUAGUACUAAAGAAUCUGUCUUUAGUACCAGUACUAUGUAGUAGUACUAAAGAAUCUGUCUUUAGUACCAGUACUAUGUAGUAGUGCUAAAGAAUCUGUCUUUAGUACCAGUACUAUGUAGUAGUACUAAAGAAUCUGUCUUUAGUACCAGUACUAUGUAGUAGUACUAAAGAAUCUGUCUUAGUAUACACAGUACUGGUACUAAAGGCACUAUGAAGAAGGCCAGGCAUGGUGGCUCAUGCCUGUAAUCCCAGCACUUUGGGAGGCCGAGGUAGGUGGACCACCUGAGGUCAAGAGUUUGAGACCAGCCUGGCCAACGUGGCAAAACCCCGU